GAUGAACGCUGGCGGCGUGCCUAAUACAUGCAAGUCGAGCGAACGGACGAGAAGCUUGCUUCUCUGAUGUUAGCGGCGGACGGGUGAGUAACACGUGGAUAACCUACCUAUAAGACUGGGAUAACUUCGGGAAACCGGAGCUAAUACCGGAUAAUAUUUUGAACCGCAUGGUUCAAAAGUGAAAGACGGUCUUGCUGUCACUUAUAGAUGGAUCCGCGCUGCAUUAGCUAGUUGGUAAGGUAACGGCUUACCAAGGCAACGAUGCAUAGCCGACCUGAGAGGGGGAUCGGCCACACUGGAAGUGAGACACGGUCCAGACUCCUACGGGAGGCAGCAGUAGGGAAUCUUCCGCAAAGGGCGAAAGCCUGACGGAGCAACGCCGCGUGAGUGAUGAAGGUCUUCGGAUCGUAAAACGCUGUUAUUAGGGAAGAACAUAUGUGUAAGUAACUGUGCACAUCUUGACGGUACCUAAUCAGAAAGCCACGGCUAACUACGUG
rnacentral:rRNA from 1 species